rnacentral:rRNA from 1 species
UACGUAGGGUGCGAGCGUUAAUCGGAAUUACUGGGCGUAAAGCGUGCGCAGGCGGCUUUGCAAGACAGAUGUGAAAGCCCCGGGCUCAACCUGGGAAUUGCAUUUGUGACUGCAAGGCUAGAGUACGGCAGAGGGGGAUGGAAUUCCGCGUGUAGCAGUGAAAUGCGUAGAUAUGCGGAGGAACACCAAUGGCGAAGGCAAUCCCCUGGGCCUGUACUGACGCUCAUGCACGAAAGCGUGGGGAGCAAACAGG